AGAGUUUGAUCAUGGCUCAGAUUGAACGCUGGCGGCAGGCCUAACACAUGCAAGUCGAACGGUAGCACAGAGAGCUUACUCUCGGGUGACGAGUGGCGGACGGGUGAGUAAUGUCUGGGAAACUGCCUGAUGGAGGGGGAUAACUACUGGAAACGGUAGCUAAUACCGCAUAACGUCGCAAGACCAAAGAGGGGGACCUUCGGGCCUCUUGCCAUCAGAUGUGCCCAGAUGGGAUUAGCUAGUAGGUGGGGUAACGGCUCACCUAGGCGACGAUCCCUAGCUGGUCUGAGAGGAUGACCAGCCACACUGGAACUGAGACACGGUCCAGACUCCUACGGGAGGCAGCAGUGGGGAAUAUUGCACAAUGGGCGCAAGCCUGAUGCAGCCAUGCCGCGUGUAUGAAGAAGGCCUUCGGGUUGUAAAGUACUUUCAGCGGGGAGGAAGGUGUUGCGGUUAAUAACCGCAGCAAUUGACGUUACCCGCAGAAGAAGCACCGGCUAACUCCGUGCCAGCAGCCGCGGUAAUACGGAGGGUGCAAGCGUUAAUCGGAAUUAUUGGGCGUAAAGCGCACGCAGGCGGUCUGUCAAGUCGGAUGUGAAAUCCCCGGGCUCAACCUGGGAACUGCAUUCGAAACUGGCAGGCUAGAGUCUUGUAGAGGGGGGUAGAAUUCCAGGUGUAGCGGUGAAAUGCGUAGAGAUCUGGAGGAAUACCGGUGGCGAAGGCGGCCCCCUGGACAAAGACUGACGCUCACGUGCGAAAGCGUGGGGAGCAAACAGGAUUAGAUACCCUGGUAGUCCACG
rnacentral:rRNA from 1 species